rnacentral:rRNA from 1 species
ACGGAUAACAUACCGAAAGGUAUGCUAAUACGGGAUAAUAUAUUUGAGAGGCAUCUCUUAAAUAUCAAAGGUGAGCCAGUACAGGAUGGACCCGCGUCUGAUUAGCUAGUUGGUAAGGUAACGGCUUACCAAGGCGACGAUCAGUAGCCGACCUGAGAGGGUGAUCGGCCACAUUGGAACUGAGACACGGUCCAAACUCCUACGGGAGGCAGCAGUGGGGAAUAUUGCACAAUGGGCGAAAGCCUGAUGCAGCAACGCCGCGUGAGUGAUGAAGGCCUUCGGGUCGUAAAACUCUGUCCUCAAGGAAGAUAAUGACGGUACUUGAGGAGGAAGCCCCGGCUAACUACGUGCCAGCAGCCGCGGUAAUACGUAGGGGGCUAGCGUUAUCCGGAUUUACUGGGCGUAAAGGGUGCGUAGGCGGUCUUUCGAGUCAGGAGUGAAAGGCUACGGCUCAACCGUAGUAAGCUCUUGAAACUGGGAGACUUGAGUGCAGGAGAGGAGAGUGGAAUUCCUAGUGUAGCGGUGAAAUGCGUAGAUAUUAGGAGGAACACCAGUUGCGAAGGCGGCUCUCUGGACUGUAACUGACGCUGAGGCACGAAAGCGUGGGGAGCAAACAGGAUUAGAUACCCUGGUAGUCCACGCUGUAAACGAUGAGUACUAGGUGUCGGGGGUUACCCCCUUCGGUGCCGCAG